rnacentral:lncRNA from 1 species
AUUUUCUAACAUGACUAAGUCUGAACUCAUUUGCAUUGAUCCAUUCUCUGAUGGUACAGAUAGUCCACUCUCUUAUACCCCCAUGCAUUAUAGAUAAUCAAUGCACUACAGGUACAAAUGCAAUGGAUCAAGAAGUCCUUGAUGUUCCCACUUUGUCUACGGCCUCCCAAGCACCUUCUGUGAUUGUCAAUCCUCCUCCACCCCCUCGAUGUCCUCAGCGUUCUAGUAAGUCUACCCAGUUGCCAGAUUUCAGUUAUUCUUGCUAUUCAGAUUCCUUUAAUUGAUUUUUAACCUCUAUUCAUAACCUAUCCGAGCCCUUUUCGUAUAAAAAGGCUAUUCUUGAUCCUCUUUGGCAGGAGGCUAUGGCUGAGGAACUCUCUAUACUGCAUAAAACUGAUACUUGGGAUUUGGUUCCAUUACCACCUAGUAAACGUGCUGUUGGUUCUCGUUGGGUCUAUAAGAUAAAAACAAAAGAUGAUGGGUUGGUUGAGUGAUAUAAAGCUAGAUUAGUUGCUAAGGGUUUCAAUAAGGAGUAUGGUGUGGAUUAUGAGGGGACCUUUGAUCCUGUUGCAAAGAUGACUAUUGUUCGUGCACUGAUUGCUGCUGCAUCUGUUCGUCGAUGGAACAUCUCUCAGAUAGAUGUUAAAAAUGCCUUCUUGAAUGGAACUCUUCACGAGGACGUUUACAUGGUGUCCCCUUCUGGACGUUUGUAAACUUAAGAAGGCACUUUAUGGUCUCAAACAAGCACAUGGUGCUUGGUUUGAGAAGUUUUCUACUGUUAUUGCCUCUCUUGGUUUUUCAUCCAGUCAUCAUGAUUCUGCUCUUUGUUCAGUGCACAUCAGCAGGUUGUAUUUUCCUUUCUUUAUAUGUUGAUGACAUGAUUAUUUUUGGUGAUGAUAUUGAUGGCAUUGUUAUCUUGAAGUCAGAAUUAGCUCGUCAAUUUGAAAUGAAGGACUUGGGUCCCCUAUGUUACUUCUUGGGUAUAGGUUGUUUAUUCUCUUAAGGGUUAUCUUCUAUCUCAGUCUAAGUAUACAGCCAACGUCAUCGAACGUGCUCGUCUCAAUGAUACUCGAAUUGUUGAUACUCUUCUUGAGAGUUCGGCAUUCUCCCUCUGAUGGUGUACCUUUGACACAUCACACUUUAUAUCGUACUAUUGUUGGUUGCUUGGUAUAGCUUACUAUUACUU